GACGAACGCUGGCGGCGUGCUUAACACAUGCAAGUCGAGCGGAAAGGCCCUUCGGGGUACUCGAGCGGCGAACGGGUGAGUAACACGUGAGUAACCUGCCCCAGACUUUGGGAUAACCCUCGGAAACGGGGGCUAAUACCGGAUACGACACAGCUUCGCAUGGGGUCUGUGUGGAAAGUUUUUCGGUUUGGGAUGGGCUCGCGGCCUAUCAGCUUGUUGGUGGGGUGAUGGCCUACCAAAGCGACGACGGGUAGCCGGCCUGAGAGGGCGACCGGCCACACUGGGACUGAGACACGGCCCAGACUCCUACGGGAGGCAGCAGUGGGGAAUAUUGCACAAUGGGCGGAAGCCUGAUGCAGCGACGCCGCGUGAGGGAUGACGGCCUUCGGGUUGUAAACCUCUUUCAGCAGGGACGAAGCGUAAGUGACGGUACCUGCAGAAGAAGCGCCGGCCAACUACGUG
rnacentral:rRNA from 1 species